rnacentral:rRNA from 1 species
GUGGGGGAUAUUGCACAAUGGGGGAAACCCUGAUGCAGCGACGCCGCGUGAGGGAAGACGGUUUUCGGAUUGUAAACCUCUGUCUUUGGGGACGAAUUGAGACGGUACCCAAGGAGGAAGCUCCGGCUAACUACGUGCCAGCAGCCGCGGUAAUACGUAGGGAGCAAGCGUUGUCCGGAAUUACUGGGUGUAAAGGGAGCGUAGGCGGGAUAGUAAGUUGAUUGUUAAAACUAUCGGCUCAACUGGUAGAUGCGAUCAAAACUGCAAUUCUUGAGUGAAGUAGAGGCAGGCGGAAUUCCUAGUGUAGCGGUGAAAUGCGUAGAUAUUAGGAGGAACACCAGUGGCGAAGGCGGCCUGCUGGGCUUUAACUGACGCUGAGGCUCGAAAGUGUGGGUAGCAAACAGGA